ACUGGGCACGAUGACACGUGUCUGUAGUCCCAGCUACUCAGGAGGCUAAGGCUGGAGGAUUGCAUGAGCCCAAGAGUUCUGGGCUGUAGUGCGCUAUGCCAAUCGGUGUCUGUACUAAGUUCGGCAUCAAUAUGGUGACCUCCUAGGAGUAGGGGACCACCAGGUUGCCUAAGGAGGGUUAAAUAGGCCCAGGUUGGAAAAGGAACAGGUCAAAACUCCCAUGCUGAUCAGUAGCAGAUUGCACCUGUGAAUAGCCACUGCACUCCAGCCUGGGCAACACAGCAAGACCCCACCCC
ensembl:misc_RNA Metazoa_SRP Metazoan signal recognition particle RNA